rnacentral:misc_RNA from 1 species
GUGUUGACCGCAUAUGCUGAACAUUGUGGGGUACGAAACUGCAGAAAGCUAUUCUGUGGAUCGAAUUCAUCAUCACAAUGAGUUCAGUAUGAAUGGUGUGACUGAGGCAAUUAUACUGAAUACCUACCUUUAAAAUUUGAGGGCUUCGGCUCUCAUCAAUAUUUGAUCUCAAAUCAGGCAAGACUACCCGCUGAACUUAA